rnacentral:rRNA from 1 species
UACGAAGGGGGCUAGCGUUGCUCGGAAUCACUGGGCGUAAAGCGCACGUAGGCGGACUCUUAAGUCGGUGGUGAAAUCCUGGAGCUCAACUCCAGAACUGCCUUUGAUACUGAGAGUCUCGAGUCCGAGAGAGGUGAGUGGAACUGCGAGUGUAGAGGUGAAAUUCGUAGAUAUUCGCAAGAACACCAGUGGCGAAGGCGGCUCACUGGCCCGGUACUGACGCUGAGGUGCGAAAGCGUGGGGAGCAAACAGG